rnacentral:rRNA from 1 species
UACGUAGGGGGCAAGCGUUGUCCGGAAUCAUUGGGCGUAAAGCGCGUGUAGGCGGUUCGGUAAGUCGGCUGUGAAAGUCCAGGGCUCAACCCUGGGAUGCCGGUCGAUACUGCCGGACUAGAGUUCGGAAGAGGCGAGUGGAAUUCCCGGUGUAGCGGUGAAAUGCGCAGAUAUCGGGAGGAACACCUAUGGCGAAGGCAGCUCGCUGGGACGUUACUGACGCUGAGGUGCGAAAGCGUGGGGAGCAAACAGG